UGUCGUCAGCUCGUGUCGUGAGAUGUUGGGUUAAGUCCCGCAACGAGCGCAACCCUUAUCAUUAGUUGCCAUCAUUUGGUUGGGCACUCUAAUGAGACUGCCGGUGACAAACCGGAGGAAGGUGGGGAUGACGUCAAGUCCUCAUGGCCCUUAUGGGUAGGGCUUCACACGUCAUACAAUGGUCAGUACAGAGGGUUGCCAACCCGCGAGGGGGAGCUAAUCCCACAAAGCCGAUCGUAGUCCGGAUCGCAGUCUGCAACUCGACUGCGUGAAGUCGGAAUCGCUAGUAAUCGUGGAUCAGCAUGUCACGGUGAAUACGUUCCCGGGUCUU
rnacentral:rRNA from 1 species